UACAUUGAACUUUUUCGAAAA
rnacentral:piRNA from 1 species